CAACUGGACUCAGUUGAGAUGAUCCCAAUUUUGUUGGCAACAUCCAAAGCAUCAUAGUCAAGAGCCAGUUGAACACAUGCCUUCUUUUCUCCAUCCGGCCUGAUCAAGGUGUUGACCUUGGCCAUGUCAAUGUCAUAGAGCUUCUUCACAACCUAUUUGAUCUGGUGUUUGUUGGCCUUGACAUGUACAAUGGACAUAAGUGCAUUGUCUUCUGUCUUCUUCAUGUCUGACUCGGGACUCGGGAACUUGAUGAUGGCAGAGUGGUCAAGCUGGUUUCUCCUGAGGGCACUCUUUUGAGGAUAUUUGGGCUGCCUUCAGAGACGCAGUGUCUUGGGCCGUCAAAAGAUAGGUGAUGGGCGGAUCUUUUUGGCGUAUGACUGUGGACACCUUUAAGCAUGCUUUCUUGGUCUUCAAAGCCUUUGCUUUGGCUUUGGCUUUGGCUUUGGGAGGGGCCGGUGCUUCUGUCUUUGUCUUUGGCACUAUCUUUGUGGGAAAAAGG
rnacentral:lncRNA from 1 species